GGAUUCCCCUAGUAACUGCGAGUGAAGCGGGAAAAGCUCAAAUUUAAAAUCUGGCAGUCUUCGAUUGUCCGAGUUGUAAUCUAGAGAAGCAUUAUCCGCGCUGGACCGUGUACAAGUCUCCUGGAAUGGAGCGUCAUAGAGGGUGAGAAUCCCGUCUUUGACACGGACUGCCAGGGCUUUGUGAUGUGCUCUCAAAGAGUCGAGUUGUUUGGGAAUGCAGCUCAAAAUGGGUGGUAAAUUCCAUCUAAAGCUAAAUAUUGGCGAGAGACCGAUAGCGAACAAGUACCGUGAGGGAAAGAUGAAAAGAACUUUGGAAAGAGAGUUAAACAGUACGUGAAAUUGCUGAAAGGGAAACGCUUGAAGUCAGUCGCGUUGUCCGGGAAUCAACCUUGCUUUUGCUGGGCGUACUUCCUGGUCAACGGGUCAGCAUCAAUUUUGACCGUUGGAAAAAGUGGCUGGGAAUGUGGCAUCUUCGGAUGUGUUAUAGCCCAGUUUCGUAUACAACGGUUGGGAUUGAGGAACUCAGCACGCCGCAAGGCCGGGUUUUUAACCACGUUCGUGCUUAGGAUGCUGGCAUAAUGGCUUUAAUCGACCCGUCUUGAAA
rnacentral:rRNA from 1 species